UUGAUUCCUAGAAGUAAAUUUUGCAGAAUAAGUCAUAAAAUCUAUCCAAACACUUCUUGAAAUUAAUACUUUUACUUUUAGAUGUUUGUUUGUGUAGAUGUAAAAUCAACAAAUGGAAUUUAACAACAUUUCAAGUUAAUGAUUCUCCUGCUCGUCAUCAAGAACUGACUCGUUUAUCAAAUGAAGGUUUAACCUUUACUGAUGAGAUUGUCUUUUACUAAUCAGUUUAUGAGAAUACUCAAACCAUAAAGAAUCUCCAAAAGUUUUAAGAUGAGGCAAAAAAUCUCACAGAAAUACUCAAUAAGAGAGAACCGUGCAAAGUGGAGCAGACACUUCAAACUCCUUCAGUAAGAGAUGAAACAUGUCCGAGGUGCGAGGACGGCUGGGAGCCACAUGGAGGAAAGUGCUACUUCUUCUCCUCCUUUACUUUAAGCUGGAAUGAGAGUAGAAGACAAUGCAAAUCAAUGAGAGGAGACCUGGUUGUGAUAAACAGUAGAAAGGAGCAGGAAUUCCUGCAGAAUAGACUGAUGAAAAAAAUGGGAGAACCUGAGGUUCUGGAUCGGACUGACAGACUCACAGAAAGAGGGUGAAUGGCUUUGGGUGGACGACACACAACUGGAUCCAAGUUGGAAGUUUUGGGUU